UACGGAGGGGGCUAGCGUUGUUCGGAAUUACUGGGCGUAAAGCGCACGUAGGCGGCUUUGCAAGUUAGAGGUGAAAGCCCGGGGCUCAACUCCGGAAUUGCCUUUAAAACUGCAUCGCUAGAAUUGUGGAGAGGUAAGUGGAAUUCCGAGUGUAGAGGUGAAAUUCGUAGAUAUUCGGAGGAACACCAGAAGCGAAGGCGGCUCACUGGCCCGAGACUGACGCUGAGGCGCGAAAGCGUGGGGAGCAAACAGG
rnacentral:rRNA from 1 species